rnacentral:rRNA from 1 species
CCUACGGGAGGCAGCAGUGAGGAAUAUUGGUCAAUGGGCGCGAGCCUGAACCAGCCAAGUAGCGUGAAGGAUGACGGCCCUACGGGUUGUAAACUUCUUUUAUAAAGGAAUAAAGUGAGGCACGUGUGCCUUUUUGUAUGUACUUUAUGAAUAAGGAACGGCGAACUCCGUUCCAGCAGCCGCGGUAAUAGGGAGGAUGCGAACGUUAUCCGGCUUUAUGGGGGUAAAGGGGUUGGUAGGCGGAAGGGCAAGUCAGCGGGAAAAUCGCGGGGCUAAACCUCGAUCUGCAGUUGAGACUGGCGGUGUUGAGUGGGCUAGAGGGAUGCAGAAUGCGUGGUGUAGCGGUGAAAUGCAUAGAUAUCACGCAGAACUCCGAUUGCGAAGGCAGCAUACCGGCGCCCAACUGACGCUGAAGCACGAAAGCGUGGGUAUCGAACAGGAUUAGAUACCCGGGUAGUC